GAUGAAGAACGUAGCGAAAUGCGAUAAGUAAUGUGAAUUGCAGAAUUCAGUGAAUCAUCGAAUCUUUGAACGCACCUUGCGCCCUUUGGGCAUUCCGAAGGGCAUGCCUGUUUGAGUAUCAUGAACACCUCAACUCUUUAUGGUUUUCCAUGAUGAGCUUGGACUCUGGGGGUUUUGCUGGCUCACAGUCGGCUCCUCUGAAAUGAAUCAGCUUACCAGUGUUUGGUGGGUAUCAUAGGUGUGAUAACUAUCUACGCUUGUGGUUUUUCCACCAGGUAACCUUCAGCAGUGGAGGUUCGCUGGAGCUCAUAGAUGUCUCUCCUCAGUGAGGACAGCCCUUUGAAUGUUUGAUCUCAAAUCAGGUAGGACUACCCGCUGAACUUAAGCAUAUCAAUAAGCGGAGGA
rnacentral:misc_RNA from 1 species